rnacentral:rRNA from 1 species
GAUGAACGCUGGCGGCGUGCCUAAUACAUGCAAGUCGAGCGAGCAGACGAGGAGCUUGCUCCUCUGACGUUAGCGGCGGACGGGUGAGUAACACGUGGAUAACCUACCUAUAAGACUGGGAUAACUUCGGGAAACCGGAGCUAAUACCGGAUAAUAUAUUGAACCGCAUGGUUUAAUAGUGAAAGACGGUUUUGCUGUCACUUAUAGAUGGAUCCGCGCCGCAUUAGCUAGUUGGUAAGGUAACGGCUUACCAAGGCGACGAUGCGUAGCCGACCUGAGGGUGAUCGGCCACACUGGAACUGAGACACGGUCCAGACUCCUACGGGAGGCAGCAGUAGGGAAUCUUCCGCAAUGGGCGAAAGCCUGACGGAGCAACGCCGCGUGAGUGAUGAAGGUCUUCGGAUCGUAAAACUCUGUUAUUAGGGAAGAACAAAUGUGUAAGUAACUAUGCACGUCUUGACGGUACCUAAUCAGAAAGCCACGGCUAACUACGUG